UGGUGGUAUGGUCUAGGGGUAGGAUACCGCAUUGUGGAGAACUCAAUGCUGCGUUGGCCCCGGUUCGAAUCCGGGUACCGCCAC